rnacentral:tRNA from 1 species
GGUAAGAUGGCUGAGAUUAAGCGAUAAAUUGUAAAUUUAUAAACGAAAAUUAUUUUCUCUUACCA